UCUCAAUUCAGGUCCUCAUAUUUUCUGAACCAGAUUUUAGUGUGUUUUAUAUUCUUAAUUAAUUGUCUAAGAGCUGAAACUCUGUAAUAAUCUUUACUAUUUAUCUGGCAUUGUAUGCUCAGAGUUUUAUCAACAAAAAGUGCUGAUAAUGUUAUAAUUAAUUAGUUUUGACAUUAUAUUUUUGUGUUUUGUUGCAGAAACCAACUGUUGAGGUUCCAUCUCAACAUUCUCCAGAUUCAGAUGUGAGCCAUUAACUGACUUCAUCCCUCCAACAGAAACCAACUGUUGAGGUUCUAUCUCAACAUUCUCUAGAUUCAGAUGACAGCCAUAAACCGACUUCAUCCCUCCAACAGAUUGACAGCAGGACAAAUCGCUGGAAGUGGGUAUGUCUCAAGCUUCUUCCACUUGGUCCACUCCAAAGCGGGCUGCAAAGGGGAAGAAGUGGAAGCAGUUGAAUGACACAUGUUGCAUUUUGUAACUGGCAACAAAGUACCAGGUAAAAAAGAUUGUGAAGCCUCCCUCCAUAAAGAACUAGUAACUCUACAGGACAGAGAUUGGCUUGAGAUCAAGUACUACAUCCAUAACAGAAUUAUAUUUAAAAAAGGAAAAAAAAAUGUUUUCCCACAUCUUCUGUGGUAGUUUGAGUAUGUUACCAGCAAUUAAAAAAGCAAAAUAAACAGCAAGCGUUUUGUAUUUAUUCCAGAUCAUUCUUAGCGACAAAAUCCACAAAAACAAUUCAGUUACACUUAAUCGACAAUUACAUUUUUACCCAUGUUUCUUUUAAACUCUUCUUGGUUUUAGAUUACAGUAGCAUGGGAUUGGGAUUUUUUUUUUAAAUGACAACACAUCAACUAAACCAACUCAGGUGGUUUUGUUAAGUCUCUGAUGUCAUUAGCCUCAUAUGUCACAUGAACCUGAAAUCUUAAACACUCUGUGACGUCAUGGUUGUCAUAUUUCACAAACUAGAAAUCUUAAACACUCUGUGACGUCAUGGUCAUCAUAUGUCACAUAAACUUGAAAUCUUAAACACUCUGUGACGUCAUGGUCAUCAUAUGUCACAUGAACCUGAAAUCUUAAACACUCGGUGACGUCAUGGUCAUCAUAUGUCACAUAAACUUGAAAUCUUAAACACUCUGGUCUUCAUUUGUCACCUAAACCUGACAAGUCCUCAUAUGUACCAUAAAAAUCAGGUUCAGAAAAAAACAAAAGAGUUGCAAAAAUCUCAAUAGACCACUGUGUUUCUAAAAUUCUGGUUCACUAACCGUCUGAGUCCCAGGCCUGUAGGACCAUUGGAAAGGCAUGUCCCCAUAUGUCACGUUUUUGUCAUAAGUCCUCAUAUGUCACCCAAACACGUAUGUGUGUGUGUG